AUUGAACGCUGGCGGCAGGCCUAACACAUGCAAGUCGAUCGAGUGGCGGACGGGUGAGUAAUGUCUGGGAAACUGCCUGAUGGAGGGGGAUAACUACUGGAAACGGUAGCUAAUACCGCAUACCAUCGGAUGUGCCCAGAUGGGAUUAGCUAGUAGGUGGAGUAAAGGCUAACCUAGGCGACGAUCCCUAGCUGGUCUGAGAGGAUGACCAGCCACAAGGGAACUUAGGCACGGUCCUGACUCCAACGGGAUGCAGCAUGGGGGAAUAUUGCACAAUUGGCGCAAGCCUGAUACAGCCAUGCCGCGUGUAUGAAGAAGGCCUUCGGGUUGUAAAGUACUUUCAGCGGGGAGGCGUUACCCGCAGAAGAAGCACCGGCUAACUCCGUGCCAGCAGCCGCGGUAAUAC
rnacentral:rRNA from 1 species